rnacentral:rRNA from 1 species
AAGAGGUCACACCCGUUCCCAUACCGAACACGGAAGUUAAGCUCUUCAGCGCCGAUGGUAGUCGGGGGUUUCCCCCUGUGAGAGUAGGACGCCGCCAAGCA